rnacentral:rRNA from 1 species
AUUGAACGCUGGCGGCAUGCUUUACACAUGCCAGUCGGACGGCAGCGCGGGCUUCGGCCUGGCGGCGAGUGGCGAACGGGUGAGUAAUACAUCGGAACGUGCCCAGUAGUGGGGGAUAGCUCGGCGAAAGCCGGAUUAAUACCGCAUACGACCUGAGGGUGAAAGCGGGGGAUCUUCGGACCUCGCGCUAUUGGAGCGGCCGAUGGCAGAUUAGCUAGUUGGUGGGGUAAAGGCCUACCAAGGCGACGAUCUGUAGCUGGUCUGAGAGGACGACCAGCCACACUGGGACUGAGACACGGCCCAGACUCCUACGGGAGGCAGCAGUGGGGAAUUUUGGACAAUGGGCGAAAGCCUGAUCCAGCAAUGCCGCGUGUGUGAUGAAGGCCUUCGGGUUGUAAAGCACUUUUGGCGGGAACGAAAAGGACUGUGCCAAUACCACGGUUCGAUGACGGUACCCGCAGAAUAAGCACCGGCUAACUACGUG